rnacentral:rRNA from 1 species
GACAGAGGGUGCAAACGUUGUUCGGAAUUACUGGGCGUAAAGCGCGUGUAGGCGGCCCUGCAAGUCGGAUGUGAAAUCCCACGGCUCAACCGUGGAAGUGCAUUCGAAACUGCAGGGCUAGAGUCCUGGAGAGGAAGGUGGAAUGCUUGGUGUAGAGGUGAAAUUCGUAGAUAUCAAGCGGAACACCGGUGGCGAAGGCGGCCUUCUGGACAGUUACUGACGCUGAGACGCGAAAGCGUGGGGAGCAAACAGG